rnacentral:rRNA from 1 species
CAUCUAGAUUAGAGUUUGAUCCUGGCUCAGAUUGAACGCUAGCGGGAUGCUUUACACAUGCAAGUCGAACGGCAGCGCGAGAGAGCUUGCUCUCUUGGCGGCGAGUGGCGGACGGGUGAGUAAUAUAUCGGAACGUGCCCAGUAGCGGGGGAUAACUACUCGAAAGAGUGGCUAAUACCGCAUACGCCCUACGGGGGAAAGGGGGGGAUCGCAAGACCUCUCACUAUUGGAGCGGCCGAUAUCGGAUUAGCUAGUUGGUGGGGUAAAGGCUCACCAAGGCAACGAUCCGUAGCUGGUUUGAGAGGACGACCAGCCACACUGGGACUGAGACACGGCCCAGACUCCUACGGGAGGCAGCAGUGGGGAAUUUUGGACAAUGGGGGAAACCCUGAUCCAGCCAUCCCGCGUGUAUGAUGAAGGCCUUCGGGUUGUAAAGUACUUUUGGCAGAGAAGAAAAGGUAUCCCCUAAUACGGGAUACUGCUGACGGUAUCUGCAGAAUAAGCACCGGCUAACUACGUGCCAGCAGCCGCGGUAAUACGUAGGGUGCAAGCGUUAAUCGGAAUUACUGGGCGUAAAGCGUGUGUAGGCGGUUCGGAAAGAAAGAUGUGAAAUCCCAGGGCUCAACCUUGGAACUGCAUUUUUAACUGCCGAGCUAGAGUAUGUCAGAGGGGGGGUAGAAUUCCACGUGUAGCAGUGAAAUGCGUAGAUAUGUGGAGGAAUACCGAUGGCGAAAGGCAGCCCCCUGGGAUAAUACUGACGCUCAGAC